rnacentral:tRNA from 1 species
GGGGUUGUAGCUCAGUGGUAGAGUGCUUGUCUCGAAUGUGUGAGACCCUGGGUUCUAUCCCCAGUACCA